rnacentral:rRNA from 1 species
UACGUAGGGGGCAAGCGUUGUCCGGAAUUAUUGGGCGUAAAGAGCGUGUAGGCGGUCCGGUAAGUCAGCUGUGAAAGUCAAGGGCUCAACCCUUGAAAGCCGGUUGAUACUGUCGGGCUAGAGUCCGGAAGAGGCGAGUGGAAUUCCCGGUGUAGCGGUGAAAUGCGCAGAUAUCAGGAGGAACACCGAUGGCGAAGGCAGGUCUCUGGGCCACUACUGACGCUGAGAAGCGAAAGCGUGGGGAGCGAACAGG